AAAUACGCAACGAUACGCUUUUUUUUCAUUGGCUAAACGCCUAGUUGAUAAGUAGGGUUUGGUCAGCUGGCAAAUGUAUGAUUACGUCACUGGGCGCUGACCGAGAAACUACUGCAUCUGUGGAGGAGAAGUGGUGACAACUGUUCCAGGAGCUGUAGACCAAAGAGAAAUCCUUCUGUAGAAACAGGAGUCGGAAAUCUAAUCCAUCAUACCUUGAUAACCGCCUCCAAGGAAUCCAUACAGUCCACCUCCAUACUUGGCUGCUUUGCCUGACAGAAAUAAAUUAAAAAUACAGUGAGUUUAACUAAAUAACUUUGAUGUUAUUUUUGUUAGAAUCUACUCAUGUUGUUCAAAUUCAUAAGACAAACUGAUUAAUUUGUCAGAAUACUCAAUGUGCACUUUCUACACAAUUGAAGUGAAUGAGCAACUGAGCAGAUGCUGAGCAUAUGAAACCGCUUGAAGUGCUGAGCCUAAAGGCUGGAAUACACUACACCACUUAUUUUGUAAAGUUGCCAGGAGGUCAUAAAGAUGCAAAUUAGCUGUUGAGUGGACAAAGAACCUCUUCCCUGCUCAACUCUGAUUGGUCGAUUCAAACUCAGGUGGGCCUGCCCUCUCGGGAGUUUAAAUAUCGAGCCUGCUCUGAAAAUCUUCCUCUCUUCUCUUCCGGCUUCGUCUCUUCCUCUCGUCUCUUCGGAGACUUCCCCUGGGGGAAAGGAUGGAACAAUGGACUUCUACUGCAACGUGGUUAAGCCAUGCGGCCGAUCACGAGGCCCGCAACUUUCAGCAGGACGUGCCUUCUGAAACCUUUUGAACAAUUCCAUCUCUACACGCGCAUACGGAUAUCAAUCCAGCACAGAGCUUGCAAGUAUCCGUUUCUAUUUAUAGAAUAGCUGCGUUAAGUCUGUGCCUCUUUGUUAAAGAUGAUUUUUAUUGGUGUUCAGAAAUCGCUGCCAUGCCCUCUCUCUCUCUCUCUCUCUCUCUCUCUUUCUUCGCACUCUUUCUCCCUCCGCGCUUCCAAUCGCAUUUGUGCUUCAUGUAUUUGUUUGUUUUAUGCGAUCGUCAUUGUUUUGUUUACCUUGUAGAGUUUAAUAAACAACCAUAUAUAUUCAUUUGUGAUGGGUUUUC